AGGGUUAAAUUGGUCUUUUCCUAUGAUUUUAAUCCACCCAGGUGUGAGAUUUAAGCCCUAAAAAUGUUUAAACUCAUUAUUUAACUUUUUCCCAAAUAAAAAAGGCAUUCUCUCUCAAGAAAACAAAUCCUAGCUCUAAGAAAUCAAGGUCAAUCUCAAGAAUUUCUCCAAGAACCUUCAAGAACAAAUAUUCCAAGAUAUGUUUUGUGUUCAUCUAUGGGUCUCUUU
rnacentral:lncRNA from 1 species